rnacentral:lncRNA from 1 species
CUAGCUCACAUGUCGCCAUAGCCAUUGCUCGAUAUUCUACUUCUGCACUAGACCGAGCAACCCAGUGUUUUGGAAAGCGCAAAGCGCAAAAAAGCGACAAGGGCUCGCCCGCUUCAAAGCGCAAAGCGCAAAAAAGCGCACGCUUUUUUGAAGCGAAGCGCAAUUUUUUAAAAAAAUAAUGUAAAAUUAUGAAUAAUCAAAAACAUCAAUUUAUAAACAUAAUAAUACAAUUGAACUGAAAGUAAAAAUUAUAAUACAAUAAUUACAUAUAUUUAUAUA